GCUGCAUGGCUGUCGUCAGCUCGUGUUGUGAAAUGUUGGGUUAAGUCCCGCAACGAGCGCAACCCUUAUCCUUUGUUGCCAGCGGUCCGGCCGGGAACUCAAAGGAGACUGCCAGUGAUAAACUGGAGGAAGGUGGGGAUGACGUCAAGUCAUCAUGGCCCUUACGACCAGGGCUACACACGUGCUACAAUGGCGCAUACAAAGAGAAGCGACCUCGCGAGAGCAAGCGGACCUCAUAAAGUGCGUCGUAGUCCGGAUUGGAGUCUGCAACUCGACUCCAUGAAGUCGGAAUCGCUAGUAAUCGUGGAUCAGAAUGCCACGGUGAAUACGUUCCCGGGCCUUGUACACACCGCCCGUCACACCAUGGGAGUGGGUUGCAAAA
rnacentral:rRNA from 1 species